AGUGAACGCUGGCGGUAGGCCUAACACAUGCAAGUCGAACGGCAGCACAGUAAGAGCUUGCUCUUACGGGUGGCGAGUGGCGUACGGGUGAGGAAUACAUCGGAAUCUACUUUUUCGUGGGGGAUAACGUAGGGAAACUUACGCUAAUACCGCAUACGACCUACGGUUGAAAGCAGGGGAUCUUCUGACCUUUUGCGAUUGAAUGCGCCGAUGUCGGAUUAGUUAGUUGGCGGGGUAAAGGCCCACCAAGGCGAGGAUCCGUAGCUGGUCUGAGUGGAUGAUAGGCCACACUGGAACUGGGACACGGUCCAGACUCCUACGGGAGGCAGCAGUGGGGAAUAUUGGACAAUGGGCGCAAGCCUGAUCCAGCCAUACCGCGUGGGUGAAGAAGGCCUUCGGGUUGUAAAGCCCUUUUGUUGGGAAAGAAAAGCAGCAGGUUAAUACCCCGCUGUUCUGACGGUAACCAAAGAAUAAGCACCGGCUAACUUCGUG
rnacentral:rRNA from 1 species